AGUGGACAAAUGCCCUCUUAGCAUACAUGAGAUCAAAUUUGUGGUCAAUGCGCGAGAACACCUCUGCAACAGCAGUAUUGUUACUGAUCAUGCAGACAGCUCGUUGCACCUUGGCCAGAUCACCCCCAGGUACUACUGUUGGAGGCUGGUAGUUGAUUCCACAUUUGAAGCCAGUUGGGCACCUGUUCAAAUCCAAAACCAAAAAAAUUACGAUUUGGUGGCAUCCACGUUAGAGAAGGGGUGGACAGGAAUUUGGCAGUAAAAGAAAUUACUAACAGAACGUUAACAUGCAGCGAGAGCAUUCUGCCUUGGAGAUAAAAAGACAUGCAAAGAGUGAACCUCACAUGGUUUAGACACAUCAUGCCUAGUCUGUAAACAUACAAGUCACAUCAUGCCUAGUCUGUAAAAGGUACAAGUCAAAUAGGAUAUUCAACAGCACCCAGGCACUAAUAUAUUGAAGUUGAUCCCAACAAAGCUCCACAUACUUCUUGAAGCGUGGGCCACAUGUUCAUGCAAUGAUGGACCAGAACACUAAAUCAUGCUAAAUAACAAUAUCAUUGCCAGGUACCAGCUAAACAUCUGUUACUCUCAAACUAAGCAAUACUAACCACACUCCCAACCAUUGAUCACAUGUAUUCCCAAUAUACUCCCAUUAGUGCACUUGAUUACGACUAAAUAGUGCAUAUCAGACAAUUGUUUCUUGAGAAGAAAAAAACAUGUUGCUAAAUGGGUUCCGAAUCAUGUAACUCUACCUAUAAAGGGUGUCAAUGGAACAAGAUGGGGGAACAAACAGGAUCAGAUUUAAAAACUUGUUUACAAAUGUAGUUUUUGGUUCACUGAUUAAAGGCCUUUCCUUUUUACCAUCAAAUUCUAAUCAAAGGAUCUAAUUUAGAUCAAAUUACCUAUAAGGCCACUAAACAGCUAGUGUCUAAGUAGUUUAUUAUAACAAGAAAGGCUCGUGCUUGCAACUAGUGCAAAAUACUUACCAGUCAACAAACUGAACAGUCCUCUUCGUUUUAAUAGUAGCCACAGCAGCAUUGACAUCCUUGGGAACAACAUCUCCGCGGUACAUGAGGCAGCAAGCCAUAUAUUUUCCAUGCCUUGGAUCACACUUAGCCAUCAUACUUGAGGGCUCAAAAACUGCAUUUGUUAUCUCAGGGACAGAUAGCUGUUCAUGGAAUGCCUUUUCUGCUGAGAUUACAGGGGCAUAGGAUGAAAGCAUAA
rnacentral:lncRNA from 1 species